rnacentral:rRNA from 1 species
GACGAACGCUGGCGGCGUGCUUAACACAUGCAAGUCGAACGGAAAGGCCCUGCUUUUGUGGGGUGCUCGAGUGGCGAACGGGUGAGUAACACGUGAGUAACCUGCCCUUGACUUUGGGAUAACUUCAGGAAACUGGGGCUAAUACCGGAUAGGAGCUCCUGCUGCAUGGUGGGGGUUGGAAAGUUUCGGCGGGUGGGGAUGGACGCGCGGCUGAUCAGCUUGUUGGUGGGGUAGUGGCUUACCAAGGCUUUGACGGGUAGCCGGCCUGGGAGGGUGACCGGCGACCAGGGGACUACGAGACGGCGCAGAGUGGUACGGGAGGCAGCGGUCGGGAAUAUGGCACAAUGGGCGGAAGUCUGAGGAGGAGACGCCGGGUGUGGGAUGCCGGCCUGUGGGGUGUAAAAAGCUUUAGCCUGUGACGAAGCGUGAGUGACGGUAAUGGGUAAAGAAGCACCGGCUAACUACGUG